ACCUGGUUGACUCAGUUAGUAGAGUGUGCGACUCUUGAUCUCAGGGUUGUGAGUUUGAGCCUCAUGUUGGGCA
rnacentral:tRNA from 1 species